AAAGGGGAGAGGCUGCCCCCAAGGGAAGGAGCCGGGCGAGGGGCAGGGGCAGGGGCAGGGGCAGGGGCGAGGGGAAGGGGCAGGGGCGAGGGAAGGGGCAGGGGCGAGGGAAGGGGCGGAGCGAGUACCGCUCCAGGAAGAGGAGCCAUACUAUGGCAACCCUGACAGGUUUGUGAGCCGCUCCUGGUCCCCUGCUGCUCCGUGAGAAAUCAAACUUCUGGCAAUGACGAAGCAUGAAGCCAGCAUCUUAGGGAGAGGUAGUGACAUAAUUACACGGUAAGACCAGCCGCCCUGGUCCCGCUGUCUCCUGGCAGGCAGGAGAGGUGUGGAAACAGCCAGGCUCCCCUUAGCAUGGCAGAACUGCUCUGGACUCGGGGAAGUGUGGAUUCGAGGGCAGGAGCUACGCCUGGCAUACUGGGAGUUGUCAUCUUUGAUUAGCUUCCAGUUUUUUAAUUGCAGGGCGACCGGAUUACAAUCUCAGCCAGCAUGAACAGGGGGUGGCACGCAGUACUGAAGGGGGAAGCCGGGCUGUGCCGGCUUCGCUGUGCAUUCUGGGAGCUGUAGUCUCUUCACCGCUCCUGCCCGUUGUUUCAAACGCUUCGGGACUACAAUCCCAGUCUUCCCCGGGCUCGGGGGCGGGGCGCAGUUCUCGUGGGAGGAGCGAGGCACCUAGCUCCUGGCCAGGCAGGCUGGAAACGGUAUCUCUUAACGGUUCCCUGCCUGUUGGUGGCAAGGCGGUUGGACUAGAAUCUCAGCAGGCGACAUGCGAGGAGGCGGGCAACCCAGGAGAAUUGGGCAAGGCAGUGUGGACCUCGCCGCUUCCACAGCGAUGCUGGCUACUGAUCGCGGGCACCUCUUUGCCAUGGGAAGUUUGUGCUGUGCACUAACAUGUAAUUCAAAUACUGAUGAAAACAAAACUAUUGCACUCCUACCAAAUGGUAACAAUGUGUAUUUUUUUCUUUUUCUAGUUAUAAAAGAAAUGCAUGUUGUUUGAAUAACGGCAGAUCAUAGAGAUCUUUAUGUAGCAGAAGUCUCCCAUGUCUUCCUCUUUGUUCCAAACUCACUCUCUUCUUAGAAGGAAUCAUUAUAGCUUGGUGUUUAUUCUUCUGGAUGUUUUCUAUAAAUUUAUAAAUACACAUAAAUUUGGCCAGGUGCAGUGGCUCGUGUCUGUAAUCCCAACACUCUGGGAGGCCAGCAGGGAGGAUCCCUUGAGCUCAGGAGGUUGAGGCUGCAGUGAGCUGUGAUCAUGCCAUUGCACUCCUGUCUGGGCAACAGAGUGAGAGACCCUGCCUCAAAAAAAAAAAAAAAAAAAAAGAAGAUAAAUACAUGUACAGUUUUUGAGCACAAAUUGUAUCAUACUAUAUAUAUACUUUUUUUUUUGCUAUUUCCCAAGCAAUAUAUCAUUUACAUUAUUCCAUAUCAAUGCACAAGAUUCUCUCUAUUUUUAAUGUCUUAAAUGUAUUCCAAAGAAUGGGUGUACAAGAUUUGUUUCACUGUUUAUUCUUUGAUAGAAACUUAGAUUAUUUCUAAUUCCAUCGUUAUUGAAAAAUGCAGUGAUAAGAUUCUUGGACAUAAUUUACUACACUGACAACUAACCAUUCAGUUUAUCUUGCCUUCUUUUAGUCAGAGAAUAUGUCAUGAGUUUACUUUAUGAUUUGAUUCAUAAGGAAAUUAAUAUUAUGACUGGAUAAGACAAUUGUGAAGAAACUGCACUUCGAGGUUGUCUGUCUCCGUAUUCUGAUGGAAAAGCGUGGAAUUUAGAAGCAUUGCUCGCUCCUUCAGUUUCUAACAAGUCAGUAUUCUCAUAGCAAUUUAAAUUUAAAUGUUUGAGUUGUUUCUCCUUCCCUCAUUCAGGAUAAGUAUGUUGUUUUUCUGUUUGUGAAACUUCCGACUCCGGGGUAUUUCAGUUGGGCUUUAGAGAGGAUAACUCCCAUAUUGCUGUUGUAUCUAUUUCUCUUCAGCAUCUGGCUGCAUGUGGCAAAGAUCAUAGAAUUAGACCAGGUCCUAUAUGUAUUUUGGGAUGAAAAAUUCAAAGUAAUCAACUCAAGACGGGACUCUACAACUUUGAUUCUUAACAAAAGAUUUCCUUUGAUUUUCCCCAAUCUUUAUGAUUCCUAGAAUAAAUUCACCCAGGGGUGAAGCA
ensembl:lncRNA